rnacentral:rRNA from 1 species
GCAUCGAUGAAGAACGCAGCGAAAUGCGAUAAGUAAUGUGAAUUGCAGAAUUCAGUGAAUCAUCGAAUCUUUGACGCACAUUGCGCCCCCUGGUAUUCCGGGGGGCAUGCCUGUUCGAGCGUCAUUUCACCACUCAAGCCUCGCUUGGUAUUGGGCAACGCGGUCCGCCGCGUGCCUCAAAUCGUCCGGCUGGGUCUUCUGUCCCCUAAGCGUUGUGGAAACUAUUCGCUAAAGGGUGUUCGGGAGGCUACGCCGUAAAACAACCCCAUUUCUAAGGUGACCUCGGAUCAGGUAGGGAUACCCG